UACGUAGGUGGCAAGCGUUACUCGGAAUCACUAGGCGUAAAGCGCAGGUAGGAGGUUUGGUAAGUCUGUUGUGAAAUCUCCGGGCUUAACUCGGAAAGGUCAACUGAUACUGUGCGACUAGAGUGCAGAAGGGGCAACUGGAAUUCUCGGUGUAGCGGUGAAAUGCGUAGAUAUCGAGAGGAACACCUGCGGCGAAGGCGGGUUGCUGGGCUGACACUGACGCUGAGGCACGAAGGCCAGGGGAGCAAACGGG
rnacentral:rRNA from 1 species